AUCCUUUUGUGGUUCACAAGCACAGUGAUUGGGUUUUUACACUCCUGUGUGACACGUGCCUCUCUCUCAAACCUCAUUACAACAUCAGUACAUUGCCUAUCUGAUG